GCAAGUCCUUAGGUCACUGAACCCUCUCACCAGUCCUAUCACGUACUUUCAUAAGUAGAGAGUGUAUCUCAAACUGGUUUUCUAGAUUAUCAAUUCCAGUUAUAGAGGUGUUAGAAAAGAAGGUACAUUAUUGAGUAUAGUUUGUUGAGUUCUAUUAAUUAUGUGAAGCUAAAAUCAACUACUGAUGAGGGUUCUCUGACUAUUGAAUUCUCUGGGAAUUUCAAAUAUAUCAGAGUCCAAUCUCACUUAGAAAUGAGAACUAUGGUAUACUCUGAUGUGGUGUGGAGUAGCUCCUAGGCCUCAGGUCUCCAUUUGUCACUGAUGCCCCACUUCCCAUGUCUGCACACUUCAGAUAGGCACAUCUUCUCUCACAUGAGUCUCUGUAGGAAGGAAGGAUCCCUUCUCACCACUCUCUGUUGUUGCCUUGGACUUCAUCCACACCAGAGAGAUGGACACCAGGGCCAGGAAGGCAGAGGAGAGGUUUGAUGAGGUAAACGAGCAGCUUCAUCACAGCCUCAUAAGAAACAGAAACCUGGAGAGGGAGCUAGAAGAAUUGGUGAAGACAACCAUGAUGGGGUCACAAGUGAAGACAGAAAAUGCCAAAGAGAACCAGGAGGACCGUGGGGGAAAGGAUGAUGAUGAACACCAACAAACACAAACGCCCCCAACAUCUGCCAAGAAAGCACAGCCCACGAACAGUUCUGAAGCACCUGAAGAUCAGAAUACACCUGAGCCCAAACCCAAUUAGCCUCCCUAGAGAGUGGGGCUCACAGUGCCUGUGUCCCUGAAGACGCCUGAGUAUUGCUGAGCUGUCGCAUUGGCAACACAGCUCACAUGGAUGGACUCGCAUAGCAACAGGCAUUAGGAAAGCCAUGCCAUCAAGCCAAGAAAAUUUCUCUCUAGAAGCAUGGCAGAAGCCAUAGGAAGUCAGUAUAUGAG
rnacentral:lncRNA from 1 species